rnacentral:lncRNA from 1 species
AUUGCAUGAAAAACUGGAAAGAGUUCAAGCACCGCAUUGGAAUCUCACGAUCCUUGCUAAAUAUAGAUGUGCACAAAUCAGCGAUUUUUCGAACCUCUGUACUAGCUAUUUUAAGCCAUAUAUCAGGAACAAACAAAAUAUCCUAAACUGGAGCAAUUCAAGUUAAUAUGUACUAGUCCUAGAUAUGCUUAAAUGAAAUGGGCCCAGUUUCAAAUUCUGAAUCAAGACAAUAUUUGGGCUGCUGUAAAGAAAAAGGCUGAAACAACUUAUAAUUUAAACUAAAUACAUUUUAUACACUACCAAUGGUAAAUAGUUUCAUAAAUAAUUACAGGCCUUGAAUUAAAUUAAGAAAAGUAAUCUGUAUAGGCUGAAAUCAAAUUAAUUUUUGAAUCCGCCUAGUGAUAAACUUAGCAACAGUUUUUGCCAUGUUUUUGAAGCUGCCUAUCAUUCACAAAAGGCUAACCAACCAGUGGCUAGAUUUGUAAAUCUGGACCUCAUGCCAAGCACUCACAAACAUCCUGCACUACCAAAUGCCAAUAAUACCCAAGACAAAGUGAUUUCCAAAAGGGGAAGGCUUUACACAAAAGACAAUACUGUAAUUUUAAACAUUUAGGGAAUUUUUUGGAUUUCAAAUGUAUUUUAACAGUCCAAGGCUAAAAGAAAAAAUAAUAAUUUUAAUGUUGUUUCCUACUCUAUUAAGGUUUGAAACAUUCAAACAUCUGAUGCUUUAAAUAAAACUAGAAAUAUCAGUGUUACUUCACCUUAAGUGCUCAAACUUAUGCAAGCAAAAUCCAUGACUAACACAACAUUAACAAACAAGCUCCUAGUUAUAUUACUGUUACAUGUUGUUAGAUAGUAGACAUGGUAGAAAACAUUCAAACAACAUAUAGAUCACCAGAUUAACAGGUAGAAUAUUUAACAAGUAUGUAAUCAAUCCAAAGUUACAAAUAUGAUGAUAUUUAUGGCAUUCCAACAACUAUUACAUUUGAUAAGAAUGGAAUUAGUACCUUAACAGCCACAUGUAUAACAAAUAUUAAGAAAUGUAUUUCUGACUUUGGAGAAAAGCAAACAGGAUCUCAGCUUCCACUAGUAAUUAGAGAAGAAAUCAAAGUCUUCGAGACCAAAUGGAGGUCAUACAAAAUAGAGGAAAUAGAGUUCAACAACCUAGAAAACAGCAGCAACAAAACACACUAACAACAAAGAACAACUCCAGAUUCAAACUCCAUUUUUGAGGUAUCUUAGGGAUUCUAUGUGUGCUUUCUAUUAUGAAUGCCAGAGAAGAAGGAUGCAAGAGUUUUCUGUGUAUUCAGAGGAUCCUUUAGAGUGAAUAUAUUGAUCAAAAUCUGUCCCCAAAAUCAGUAAAGGUCUUUUCCUUUUAUAGAGUGUAUAAAAACAACAUCAAAAGGCAUCUUCUGCCCUGAAUUCCUAAAAUGUUAGAUAGUACAACAUCUUUUAACAGUUGUUUGUCCUUUUUCCCACCCAAUUUCAGCAUUUUCAGGCUAAGAAUGGGGACAACUGUCCUAUACUAGAACAUUCUGAUAUUUUCUCAUUUAGAACUCCCAAUUUUAGCUUUCUAAAUUUUGCUUAUUGCAAUUUUAAUCUAUUUGACCUAAAUUCUGAUUGUUUAAUUAACCAUUAACCCCUUCUAGAACCUCCUAGAACCAACUAGGCCAUUAUAGCCUUGGAUUCCCUAAAUUGAUUUCCAAUUAACCCUUUAAGGUUUUCAAUAUUACCCUUUCAAACUCCUUCAAUUCCAAUCGGCAUUCAAACCUCCCACCUCAAACAAUGAAAGCCAAAUCAAAGAUAGACCAAAACAAAACAAAUUGUCAAUUUAACACUUAAUUAAAAUCUGAACUGACUGAAACUGAUCUAAUUCACCUAACAAAUUAUAAUUUACGAAUGAAGAUUACAAUUAGGCUAAACAUACUAUCAUCAAGCCAAACUAAUCAGCAUUAUGUAAAACAACAAAAUGAUGAUUGGUCAGAAAAAAUGAAAAUAGAAGAAAAGAACUGUUAAACCAAAUUGACCAGGGAAAGAAAAUUGAACGGAAGGAAUACCCGAGGGUGAGAAACUGCUAAUUUCAAACGAUCCAAACUGGGGUCGAUAUCAUCACACAAACAACUGAUUCUUGAUCAGAGAAACUUGUAUAGUGGCUGCAUGUUACGAUAAUGACCCUAGCUUGGCCGGAGAAUGUCGUCACAAGGCUAUGGGAUUCCAGUGGAUGGUAAGGUGGCUGACCGGAUUCCGGAGGCUUGAAAAGAAACAAACCCAACGUAGGUUUAUUUCUCUUUCCAAGGGAACUAAGUUUACGUAGAUGAGCCGGCUUGAACAAACAAUAUCAAAGAAAAGAGGCAGAAUAUGGUUUUUUGAGAGAUGAUGUUAGGGGGCUUAGAAAGAGGAGGGGACAAGGAUUAUCUAGUGAAGAUUUGAGCUAAUUUGGAGGUAUUUAGGGUAGUGGUUUAGGGCGGCAGCGCCGGAAGGUGAUUUACAGUGGCUAGGGUUCUAUGGAGACAUAUGAGAUGAGAGACUGAAGGGAUUCAGGGGUU